UACGGGGGGGGCAAGCGUUGUUCGGAAUUACUGGGCGUAAAGGGCUCGUAGGCGGCCAACUAAGUCAGACGUGAAACCCCUCGGCUUAACCGGGGAACUGCAUCUGAUACUGGAUGGCUUGAGUUCGGGAGAGGGAUGCGGAAUUCCAGGUGUAGCGGUGAAAUGCGUAGAUAUCUGGAGGAACACCGGUGGCGAAGGCGCCCACCUGGCCUGCUACUGACGCUGAAGCUCGAAAGCUAGGGGAGCAAACGGG
rnacentral:rRNA from 1 species